CAGUAGUGAAAGUGGUCAGGCUGGUAAUAAUGGCUAGAAGAAAAUCAAGGAUACAAUCUGUAGAAGAAAAAAAAAGUGGCCACACAGUCCCAUAUUCUGAUGAUAGGCUGCUGGCUGCAGUGCUGUUUCCAACUGUUUCCUGGUCCUCCCUGUUUUGCCAGUGGCCAUAGUGAACUUGCUGAUGGACGUAAAUGCAACUUGAAGGAGUUCCAGGAAUUACGAAAACCAACACAUAUUGGUUCAAGGUGAAAUGGAGUUUUAAUGAAGAUGGUCAGGGUGGAGGAAGGCUCAGCAUGGGUAUAGAAGAAGAUGGAACAGAAAACUGUCAAAGAGGGAAGCGUGGGGCCUCGCUCGAAGGUGAACUUCCUCCUGUGGGUGGGUGCAGAUAUCUGUGCCAUGAGAAACAUGGAAAUUAGUGAAUGCAAAGAAAGCAGAAGUAGCUUCCCCAGCUACUUAAACUGCUGAGUGCCGUUCCCUUAGCCAUACUGCAAAUGAAACAUUGCCUUGCAUUGUCUGUCAGGGAAUUGGUGUUUUCCUUAAGUUUGCUAGUGUUCAGAAGCAUCAGUAGAAUUCUGCAUGUUGCUCAAAUCUAAACCAUGUGAACUUAUGAGAAGAUUUAUGCAUCUGAAGUGUUCUGCUGACACUCUGGUGUCAUAACUGAAGUAUCCUAAACAUUCGUUUAUUUAGCUAUUUUACAAAAUAAAACUUGUGCCUCUUUC
rnacentral:lncRNA from 1 species